AUACGUAGGGGGCGAGCGUUACCCGGAAUUACUGGGCGUAAAGAGCGCGUAGGCGGCUAGGUCAGUCGGAUGUGAAAGCCCUGGGCUCAACCUGGGAACUGCAUUCGAUACUGCCUAGCUAGAGUAUGGUAGAGGGAAGCGGAAUUCCGGGUGUAGCGGUGAAAUGCGUAGAUAUCGGAAGGAACACCAGUGGCGAAGGCGACUUCCUGGGCCAAUACUGACGCUAAGGAGCGAAAGCGUGGGGAGCAAACGGGAUUAGAAACCCCGGUAGUCC
rnacentral:rRNA from 1 species